ACGACCUUACUUGAACAGGAUCUGUUCUAUAGGUUCGUACCUCUGUAUCCUUGAGUUCUAAGGAGACAGGAAAUCAAGCCUGGUGGAUGAACAAUGGCCAAGAGACUAGAGCGUGAUUAACAGUCCCAAACCUUCACUGGGCGGAGCCGUAGAGGAUCGUUCUCAGCCAUGGGUUCAUGGUUGGGAUGGUCUCUUGGCUGUCUGACAGGCU